AGUGAACGCUGGCGGUAGGCCUAACACAUGCAAGUCGAACGGCAGCACAUUAAUAGCUUUCUCUUACGGGUGGCGAGUGGCGGACGGGUGAGGAAUACAUCGGAAUCUACUUUUUCGUGGGGGAUAACGUAGGGAAACUUACUCGAAUACCGCAUACGACCUACGGGUGAAAGCAGGGGAUCUUCGGACCUUGCGCGAUUGAAUGAGCCGAUGUCGGAUUAGCUAGUUGGCGGGGUAAAGGCCCACCAAGGCGACGAUCCGUAGCUGGUCUGAGAGGAUGAUCAGCCACCCUGGAACUGAGACACGGUCCAGGCUCCUAAGGGAGGCAGCAGUGGGGAAUAUUGGACAAAGGGCGCAAGCCUGAUCCAGCCAUACCGGGUGGGUGAAGAAGGCCUUCGGGUUGUAAAGCCCUUUUGUUGGGAAAGAAAAGCAGCAGGUUAAUACCCCGCUGUUCUGACGGUACCCAAAGAAUAAGCACCGGCUAACUUCGUG
rnacentral:rRNA from 1 species